rnacentral:rRNA from 1 species
AGUGAACGCUGGCGGCGUGCCUAAUACAUGCAAGUCGAACGGAGUGGCGCACGGGUGAGUACUAUAUAGCUAAUCUGCCCCUUGCUGGAGGACCACAGUUAGAAAUGACUGCUAAUACUCCAUAGCAAGUGAUGAGACUAUAUCGUAUCAGCUAGUCGGUGGGGUAACGGCCUACCGAGGUUAUGACGGGUAACUGGUCUGAGAGGAUGAGCAGUCACAUGGUAAGUGAGUCACGGUGCAAACAGCGACGGGAGGCAGCAGUAGGCAACAGUGCGCAAUGCGGGAAGCCUUGACGCAGCAACGCCGCGUGUAGGAUGACAGUUUGUGUGGCGUAAACUCCUUGUGGAAGGGUAGCGGUACCUAUCGAAUAAGCACCGGCUAACGCCGUGCCAGCAGCCGCGGUAAUAC